rnacentral:rRNA from 1 species
GUGAGGAAUUUUCCGCAAUGGGCGAAAGCCUGACGGAGCAAUGCCGCGUGAAGGAUGAAGGCCUAUGGGUUGUAAACUUCUUUUCUCAGAAAAGAAUUAUGACGGUAUCUGAGGAAUAAGCAUCGGCUAACUCUGUGCCAGCAGCCGCGGUAAGACAGAGGAUGCAAGCGUUAUCCGGAAUGAUUGGGCGUAAAGCGUCUGUAGGUUGUUUAAAAAGUAUUCUGUCAAAGAUUAGGGCUUAACCCUAGAUAGGCAGAAUAAACUUUUAAGCUAGAGUUUGGUAGAGGCAGAGGGAAUUCCCGGUGGAGCGGUGAAAUGCGUAGAUAUCGGGAGGAACACCAAAGGCGAAGGCACUCUGCUGGGCCAAUACUAACACUGAGAGACGAAAGCGAGGGGAGCAAAUGGGAUUAGAAACCCCUGAGUCC